rnacentral:tRNA from 1 species
UGUAGAAUUCCAGCUUUGGGUGUUGGUGGUGAGGUUUAAUGUCUCUUCCUUGA